GGCGGACGGGUGAGUAACGCGUGGGUAACCUGCCCUAUACAGGGGGGAUAACAACCAGAAAUGGUUGCUAAUACCGCAUAAGCCCACGGCCCGGCAUCGGGCUGCGGGAAAAGGAUUUAUUCGCUUCAGGAUGGACUCGCGUCCAAUUAGCUAGUUGGUGAGGUAACGGCCCACCAAGGCGACGAUUGGUAGCCGGACUGAGAGGUUGAACGGCCACAUUGGGACUGAGACACGGCCCAGACUCCUACGGGAGGCAGCAGUGGGGGAUAUUGCACAAUGGGGGAAACCCUGAUGCAGCGACGCCGCGUGGAGGAAGAUGGUUUUCGGAUUGUAAACUCCUGUCGUUAGGGACGAUAAUGACGGUACCUAACAAGAAAGCACCGGCUAACUACGUGCCAGCAGCCGCGGUAAAACGUAGGGUGCAAGCGUUGUCCGGAAUUACUGGGUGUAAAGGGAGCGCAGGCGGACCGGCAAGUUGGAAGUGAAAACCAUGGGCUCAACCCAUGAAUUGCUUUCAAAACUGCUGGCCUUGAGUAGUGCAGAGGUAGGUGGAAUUCCCGGUGUAGCGGUGGAAUGCGUAGAUAUCGGGAGGAACACCAGUGGCGAAGGCGACCUACUGGGCACCAACUGACGCUGAGGCUCGAAAGCAUGGGUAGCAAACAGGAUUAGAUACCCUGGUAGUCCAUGCCGUAAACGAUGAUUACUAGGUGUUGGAGGAUUGACCCCUUCAGUGCCGCAGUUAACACAAUAAGUAAUCCACCUGGGGAGUACGACCGCAAGGUUGAAACUCAAAGGAAUUGACGGGGGCCCGCACAAGCAGUGGAGUAUGUGGUUUAAUUCGAAGCAACGCGAAGAACCUUACCAGGUCUUGACAUCCGAUGCAUAGUGCAGAGAUGCAUGAAGUCCUUCGGGACAUCGAGACAGGUGGUGCAUGGUUGUCGUCAGCUCGUGUCGUGAGAUGUUGGGUUAAGUCCCGCAACGAGCGCAACCCUUAUUGCCAGUUUCUACGCAAGAGGACUCUGGCGAGACUGCCGUUGACAAAACGGAGGAAGGUGGGGAUGACGUCAAAUCAUCAUGCCCUUUAUGACCUGGGCUACACACGUACUACAAUGGCGUUUAACAAAGAGAAGCAAGACCGCGAGGUGGAGCAAAACUCAGAAACAACGUCUCAGUUCAGAUUGCAGGCUGCAACUCGCCUGCAUGAAGUCGGAAUUGCUAGUAAUCGCGGAUCAGCAUGCCGCGGUGAAUACGUUCCCGGGCCUUGCACACACCGCCCGUCAA
rnacentral:rRNA from 1 species